rnacentral:rRNA from 1 species
UUAUAUCAAUUAUAAAAGUAAUUAUGCUAGAACUAGUAACAAGAAAUUGAUUUUCUCCUAAAUGUAAGUAUAAACCAUAUGGACAAACCAAAUGGUAAUUAACGCCCCUGUAACUAAUAUAACAACACUUCUCAAGAAAACCCUAUAAUUAUUUACGUUAACCUUACACUAGAGCAUUUCAGGAAAGAUUAAAAGAGAGAGAAGGAACUCGGCAAACCUUAGCCCCGCCUGUUUACCAAAAACAUCGCCUCUUGGCACAGUAUAAGAGGUCCAGCCUGCCCGGUGACAUAGUUUAACGGCCACGGUACCCUGACCGUGCGAAGGUAGCAUAAUCACUUGUUCUUUAAAUAGGGACUUGUAUCAAUGGCAUCACGAGGGCUGCACUGUCUCCUCUCUUCAGUCAGUGAAACUGAUCCCCCCGUGAAGAAGCGUGGAUUAAAUUAUAAGACGAGAAGACCCCAUGGAGCUUUAAACAAUGUGCUCACACUAUGCUAAUAUAUCAACUCACUAAUAAGCCCUGGGCACAAGUUUUAGGUUGGGGAGACCGCGGAGUACAAACUAACCUCCACGACAGAUGGCUUAUGCCUUAUCUAAGAGCCACAGCUCCAAGAAUCAAGAUAUUGAUGUCUAUGAUCCGAUAUUCGAUUAACGAAUCAAGUUACCCUGGGGAUAACAGCGCAAUCUACUUUGAGAGCCCUUAUCGACAAGUAGGCUUACGACCUCGAUGUUGG